rnacentral:rRNA from 1 species
ACCAGUUGUCAUGCCAAUGGCACAGCUGGGUAGUUACGUUCGGAAGGGAUAAACGCUGAAGGCAUCUAAGCGUGAAGCCCCCCUUAAGAUUAGAUUUCCCAUUAGUUAAACUAAGUAAGAUCCCUUAUAGACUAUGAGGUUGAUAGGUUGGAGGUGUAAGCACCGCGAGGUGUUUAGCUGACCAAUACUAAUAGAUCGAGGGCUUAAUCUA